AACCUAUAGUAGUGGCAGUAUUCUAGCCAAUGAGGUUAAUCCGAGGCGUGAUUAUUGCUAGUUGAAGACUUUCAUAAACUAGCAGGAUAAAUGGGGAUUCUUCAUGUAGCUCUGUAUGUUCCCAUUUGUGGG
ensembl:snRNA U4 U4 spliceosomal RNA